GGUUAAGUGACUAAGCGUACACGGUGGAUGCCUGGGCAGUCAGAGGCGAUGAAGGACGUACUAACUUGCGAUAAGCGCAGAUAAGGCAGUAAGAGCCGUUUGAGUCUGCGAUUUCCGAAUGGGGAAACCCAACUGCAUAAGCAGUUACUGUUAACUGAAUACAUAGGUUAACAGAGCAAACCGGGGGAACUGAAACAUCUAAGUACCCCGAGGAGAAGAAAUCAACCGAGAUUCCGGUAGUAGCGGCGAGCGAACCUGGAUUAGCCCUUAAGCACUCGGUGAAGUAGGUGAACAAGCUGGAAAGCUUGGCGAUACAGGGUGAUAGCCCCGUAACCGACGCUUCAUCGAGCGUGAAAUCGAGUAGGGCGGGACACGUGAUAUCCUGUCUGAAUAUGGGGGGACCAUCCUCCAAGGCUAAAUACUCCUGACUGACCGAUAGUGAACCAGUACCGUGAGGGAAAGGCGAAAAGAACCCCUGUGAGGGGAGUGAAAUAGAACCUGAAACCGUGUACGUACAAGCAGUAGGAGCACCUUCGUGGUGUGACUGCGUACCUUUUGUAUAAUGGGUCAGCGACUUAUAUUCAGUGGCAAGGUUAACCGUAUAGGGGAGCCGUAGCGAAAGCGAGUCUUAACUGGGCGCUCAGUCUCUGGAUAUAGACCCGAAACCGGGUGAUCUAGCCAUGGGCAGGUUGAAGGUUGAGUAACAUCAACUGGAGGACCGAACCGACUAAUGUUGAAAAAUUAGCGGAUGACUUGUGGCUAGGGGUGAAAGGCCAAUCAAACUCGGAGAUAGCUGGUUCUCCCCGAAAGCUAUUUAGGUAGCGCCUCGGACGAAUACUACUGGGGGUAGAGCACUGUUAAGGCUAGGGGGUCAUCCCGACUUACCAACCCUUUGCAAACUCCGAAUACCAGUAAGUACUAUCCGGGAGACACACGGCGGGUGCUAACGUCCGUCGUGGAGAGGGAAACAACCCAGACCGCCAGCUAAGGUCCCAAAGUAUUGCUAAGUGGGAAACGAUGUGGGAAGGCUCAGACAGCUAGGAUGUUGGCUUAGAAGCAGCCAUCAUUUAAAGAAAGCGUAAUAGCUCACUAGUCGAGUCGGCCUGCGCGGAAGAUGUAACGGGGCUAAGCAAUACACCGAAGCUGCGGCAAUAUCUUUUAGAUAUUGGGUAGGGGAGCGUUCUGUAAGCCGUUGAAGGUGAAUCGUAAGGUUUGCUGGAGGUAUCAGAAGUGCGAAUGCUGACAUGAGUAACGACAAAGGGGGUGAAAAACCUCCUCGCCGGAAGACCAAGGGUUCCUGUCCAACGUUAAUCGGGGCAGGGUGAGUCGACCCCUAAGGUGAGGCCGAAAGGCGUAAUCGAUGGGAAACGGGUUAAUAUUCCCGUACUUCUGACUAUUGCGAUGGGGGGACGGAGAAGGCUAGGUGGGCCAGGCGACGGUUGUCCUGGUUCAAG
rnacentral:rRNA from 1 species